rnacentral:rRNA from 1 species
AGUGAACGCUGGCGGUAGGCCUAACACAUGCAAGUCGAACGGCAGCACAGUAAGAGCUUGCUCUUACGGGUGGCGAGUGGCGGACGGGUGAGGAAUACAUCGGAAUCUACUUUUUCGUGGGGGAUAACGUAGGGAAACUUACGCUAAUACCGCAUACGACCUACGGGUGAAAGCAGGGGAUCUUCGGACCUUGCGCGAUUGAAUGAGCCGAUGUCGGAUUAGCUAGUUGGCGGGGUAAAGGCUCACCAAGGCGACGAUCCGUAGCUGGUCUGAGAGGAUGAUCAGCCACACUGGAACUGAGACACGGUCCAGACUCCUACGGGAGGCAGCAGUGGGGAAUAUUGGACAAAGGGCGCAAGCCUGAUCCAGCCAUACCGCGUGGGUGAAGAAGGCCUUCGGGUUGUAAAGCCCUUUUGUUGGGAAAGAAAAGCAGCAGGUUAAUACCCCGCUGUUCUGACGGUACCCAAAGAAUAAGCACCGGCUAACUUCGUG